rnacentral:rRNA from 1 species
UACGUAGGUGGCAAGCGUUGUCCGGAAUUAUUGGGCGUAAAGCGCGCGCAGGCGGUCCUUUAAGUCUGAUGUGAAAGCCCACGGCUCAACCGUGGAGGGUCAUUGGAAACUGGGGGACUUGAGUACAGAAGAGAAGAGUGGAAUUCCACGUGUAGCGGUGAAAUGCGUAGAUAUCUGGAGGAACACCGGUGGCGAAGGCGGCAUUCUGGACUGCAACUGACACUGAUGAACGAAAGCCAGGGGAGCAAACGGG